UACGUAGGGGGCAAGCGUUGUCCGGAUUUAUUGGGCGUAAAGAGCGUGUAGGCGGUCUGGUAGGUCCGUUGUGAAAACUCGAGGCUCAACCUCGAGACGCCGGUUGAAACCAUCUGACUAGAGUCCGGAAGAGGAGAGUGGAAUUCCUGGUGUAGCGGUGAAAUGCGCAGAUAUCAGGAAGAACACCCGUGGCUAAGGCGGCUCUCUAGUACGGUACUGACGCUGAGGAGCGAAAGCGUGGGGAGCGAACAGG
rnacentral:rRNA from 1 species